rnacentral:rRNA from 1 species
UACGUAGGGGUCUAGCGUUGUCCGGAAUCAUUGGGCGUAAAGAGCUCGUAGGCGGUUCGGCAAGUCGGAUGUGAAAUCUCCACGCUCAACGUGGAGGGGCCAUUCGAAACUGCCGUGACUCGAGUCCGGUAGGGGAGUGCGGAAUUCCCGGUGUAGCGGUGAAAUGCGCAGAUAUCGGGAGGAACACCGGUGGCGAAGGCGGCUUCCUGGACCGACACUGACGCUGAGGCGCGAAAGCCAGGGGAGCAAACGGG